GGAAGGAUCAUUAUUGAAUAAACUUGAACGAGUUGUUGCUGGCUCCUAUAUGGGCAUGUGCACACUUGUCAUUUUUACCCCUCCACCUGUGCACAUAUUGUAGAUCGAUUGAGGAUUGCUGUGCUUUUUAUUCAAAAAGAGUCAGCUUUGUCUUGUAUCUUUAGAUCUAUUUAUUUAUUUUUCACAAUCUCUAAAAGUGUAUAGAAUGUUGAAUUUGGGAAAUAUACAACUUUCAGCAACGGAUCUCUUGGCUCUCGCAUCGAUGAAGAACGCAGCGAAAUGCGAUAAGUAAUGUGAAUUGCAGAAUUCAGUGAAUCAUCGAAUCUUUGAACGCAUCUUGCGCUCCUUAGUAUUCUGAGGAGCAUGCCUGUUUGAGUGUCAUUAAAUUCUCAACUACAUCUCUUUUUGAUGUGGCUUGGACAGUGGGGGUUAUAUUUGCAGGCUUUUGAAAAGAAGUUUGCUCCCCUGAAAUGAAUUAGUGGUAUCUAAGCAGAGACUACUACAGGUGUGAUAAUUAUUUUAUGCCUUGGUAUACUGCAUGCACUGCUUCUAAUGACUUUUGUUAUUGACCAAUUUGACCUCAAAUCAGGUAGGACUACCCGCUGAACUUAAGCAUAUCAAUAAGCGGAGGA
rnacentral:sRNA from 1 species